AAAAACAGACCGACCUCGGGAGGAGCGCUCAGCAUCAUCAUCCUCCUCCCUCCUCCUCAUCCUCCUCCUCACAGCUGAAGAUGGCGGACCCGGCCGAGUGCACCAUCAAAGUCAUGUGCCGUUUUCGGCCUUUAAACGGUUCGGAGGUGAUGAGGGGAGACAAAUAUGUCCCCAAAUUUCAAGCAGACGAUAAUGUGGUCGUCGGGGGAAAGCCGUAUAUGUUUGAUCGAGUAUUUCAGUCUAACACUACUCAGGAGCAGGUUUACAACGCUUGUGCUCAGAAGAUUGUUAAAGAUGUGCUUGAGGGUUAUAACGGUACAAUAUUUGCUUAUGGACAAACCUCUUCUGGAAAAACACACACUAUGGAGGGAAACCUGCACGAUCCAGAUGGCAUGGGCAUUAUUCCGCGGAUCGUCCAGGAUAUAUUCAACUACAUUUACUCCAUGGAUGAAAACCUGGAAUUCCAUAUCAAGGUCUCCUAUUUUGAGAUUUACCUGGACAAGAUCAGGGAUUUGCUGGAUGUGUCUAAGACCAAUCUGUCUGUACAUGAAGACAAGAACAGAGUCCCUUAUGUAAAGGGUUGUACUGAACGGUUUGUGUGUAGCCCAGACGAAGUGAUGGACACCAUUGAUGAAGGCAAAUCCAACAGACACGUGGCUGUCACAAACAUGAACGAGCACAGCUCCAGGAGUCACAGUAUCUUCCUGAUAAACGUCAAGCAAGAGAACUCACAGACGGAGCAGAAACUGAGUGGCAAACUCUUCCUGGUGGAUUUAGCAGGAAGCGAGAAGGUCAGUAAAACCGGAGCAGAGGGUGCUUUAUUGGAUGAAGCCAAAAACAUUAACAAAUCUCUUUCCGCUCUGGGCAACGUCAUCUCUGCUCUAGCUGAAGGAACGACGUACGUUCCCUACAGAGACAGUAAGAUGACGAGGAUCUUGCAGGAUUCUCUGGGUGGAAACUGCAGGACAACUAUAGUGAUCUGCUGCUCUCCAUCUUCCUUCAACGAGGCCGAGACCAAAACUACGCUCAUGUUCGGACAGAGAGCAAAGACCAUCAAGAACACAGUGUGUGUGAACGUGGAGCUGACAGCUGAGCAGUGGAAGAAGAAAUAUGAGAAGGAGAAAGAGAAGAACAAGACGCUAAAGAACACCAUCACCUGGCUGGAGAACGAGCUCAACCGCUGGAGGAACGGUGAGAGCGUCCCGAUUGAGGAGCAGUACGAUAAGGAGAAGGCAAAUGCAGAUGUUCUGGCCCUGGAUAAUGUGAUGAAUAAUGAUAAAUUCACCUCGUCUCCCAGUGUGCCCGGCCUUAAAUUGACUGAUGCUGAGCGUGAGAAGUGUGAGGCUGAAUUGGCCAAACUUUACAAACAGCUGGAUGACAAGGAUGAUGAGAUAAAUCAGCAGUCUCAGCUGGCUGAGAAACUCAAGCAGCAGAUGUUGGAUCAGGAAGAGCUGCUGGCCUCAACGCGAAGGGACCAUGACAACCUGCAGGCGGAGCUCACCCGUCUGCAGAUGGAGAAUGAGGCGUCUAAAGAGGAGGUGAAGGAGGUGCUGCAGGCCCUGGAGGAGCUCGCAGUCAACUAUGAUCAGAAGAGUCAGGAGGUGGAGGACAAGACCAAGGAGUUUGAAUCCCUGAGUGAAGAGCUCAACCAGAAAUCUAGCGUUCUUGCAUCUAUCGACUCUGAGCUGCAGAAACUGAAGGAAAUGACCAACCAUCAGAAGAAGAGAGUCACUGAGAUGAUGUCAUCACUGCUUAAAGACCUGGCAGAGAUUGGCAUCGCCAUAGGCAGCAAUGACAUUAAGCAUGAGGGUGGAGGUCUCAUUGAUGAAGAGUUCACAGUCGCUCGUCUGUACAUCAGUAAGAUGAAGUCGGAGGUGAAGACUCUGGUGAAGCGCAGCAAACAGCUGGAAAGCACUCAGGCCGAGAGUAACAAGAAGAUGGAUGAGAACGAGAAAGAGCUCGCAGCCUGUCAGCUCCGUAUCUCUCAGUAUGAGGCGAAGAUCAAGUCCCUGACAGAGUAUCUGCAAAACAUUGAACAGAAGAAGAGACAGCUAGAGGAGAACGUCGACUCUCUCAAUGAGGAACUGGUCAAACUCAGUGCACAGGAAAAUGUUCAUGCCAUGGAGAAGGAGAAUGAGAUACAGAGUGCUAAUGAAGUCAAGGUUGCAGUUGAGCAGCAGAUCCAGAACCACAGAGAAGCUCAUCAGAAACAGCUGAGCAGCCUGAGAGACGAGCUGGAGAUCAAGGAGAAACUCAUCACAGAACUGCAGGAUCAGAACCAGAAGAUCAUGUUGGAGCAGGAGCGCUUGAAGGUGGAGCACGAGAAACUCAAAAACACUGACCAGGAGAAGAGCCGCAAACUGCACGAGCUGACGGUGAUGCAGGACAGAAGGGAACAGGCCAGACAGGAUCUCAAAGGCCUGGAGGAGACAGUGGCCAAAGAGCUGCAGACUCUUCAUAACCUGAGGAAACUCUUUGUUCAGGAUCUGGCCACACGGGUGAAGAAGAGUGCUGAGAUGGACUCAGAUGACACUGGCGGCAGUGCGGCACAAAAACAGAAGAUCUCAUUCCUUGAGAACAACCUUGAGCAGCUCACUAAAGUGCACAAGCAGCUGGUGCGUGAUAACGCUGACCUGCGCUGUGAGCUGCCCAAGCUGGAGAAGCGCCUGCGGGCCACGGCGGAGCGUGUGAAGGCUCUGGAGUCUGCACUCAAAGAGGCCAAAGAGAACACAGCCCGUGACCGCAAACGCUACCAACAGGAGGUGGACCGCAUCAAAGAGGCUGUCAGAGCCAAGAACAUGGCCCGCAGAGGACACUCCGCACAGAUCGCCAAGCCAAUCAGACCAGGUCAGCCCCCUGUCGCCUCUCCCACCCACCCCAAUGUCAACCGCUUAGGGGCGGGGCUCUUCCCGAAUAACCAAUCAGCGGGCAUCCGUGGUGGAGGCGGAGUCAAACAGUAAAAUAAGUGAGUAGAUGCUGCAAAAUUCUCAUAACUAUGUCACAUUGUGGAGGUAAAAUGGGUUGCGAAUAUAACUUCAUCCUUUCUUUCUCCUUUUUCACCCUCUGUGUCUUUAUUGCUCACUCUUUCCAGCUGUUGAAUGCUGAAUUUAACCCCAGUAGCCCCAGCUGAAGCUGAUAUCACCCCAAAAAGCUGAACAGGCAUUCCACAGCACGGGAGGGUUCAAUACUAUACAUAUGAAAAUGAAUAUAAGUAUAUAUAUGUGUAUGAAACAUGAAAUACUAUCCCCGUCUGGGCUGUACAGUUGUUCCUCCAUUCUUAUCUCUCAUAUCUUCCCUUUAAAAUACAAAGAAAACUAAAAAAAAGUUUUUUUUGCACCAGUGAACGUGUGUGUAAAUUAGCGUGUAUCUCUUCACUCUUGCACAGUAGGUUUCUGCUCAAAUCCUGCUCUCCACAUCCCUCACUGUGCCAAGUUGAAUGUAUUACAAAAGAAAAAAAGGCAGAAAUGAAUGAAAAAUGGAAAAAAGAACAAUAAAAUUCUAGCUGCAUUAUUUUUACAUUCACAUUUUGGGUUUGUUUAGAGAGUUAGCUUGUUCUCUCUUGCUUUGAGUAGUUUCUAUUGAACAUUUCAACUAAAUAAGUAAGUUAAACACUACAAUUGAACUGUAUAUAUGAACCAUUGAACUAGUUUUUGUAAUGAUGGACAUGUUCAGAAGAAAGAUUUAAAUGAUGUUGAAAGUGGAUGAAAGGUUUCUGAAAGUAGACAAACGAGAUGCAGUUCCAUGAAAUGAGAACGAAAAGGCUGCUUAAUGUAGACGCACCUGAGCUGCAGGAAUAUUUAAAGCACUGUACGAACACACAACGAGUAAUCAUUGUUACAGCAUAAAGACCUGUGUGUAUGCCACAGCCUGAGGUCUUGGAUGAGUCAUAGCUAGGUAAAAAAAACAAAACAAUAAUACUGAUGUCACAUGCUCAUUUUGACAUUUCAAUAUUUCACUUUUAAGCAGGUAGAGUUUGUCGUAUCGAUGCUGCUCCGUAGCUCAGUCACUACAAAUCAUUAAUAAUCACGUGUGUGGAUUUCUCCUCUUAGUUUACCUACCAUAUUCCCAGACAGGAUUCUUGUUAUAUUGUUUUUGGUAGGCAGGGAACCUUGCAGUUUAUUAGAGAGAUUGUUGACCCAAUAAUGAAAAAUGUAUUCACUCUCAUGGUGUUCCAAACUUGUUAGAUUUUUCUUUCAUGAAACACUAAAGAAUAUCUAAAUGUUUAUGCUGCUUUUUGAAAUGAAAAUGGAUGAGAUGGACAAUUUCAAGCUCUAAAAAGGACAAGAAGCACUAUUGAGGUAGUCCAUUAUGACUUGAGUGACUUCUGAAGUCAAACAACUACAAAUUUAAGUCAUUAUUCACUUCAAAUCUUGCCCUCCGUGAUCAUUCGAUUGAGACAUAAUGGCAUUCGGUGGCAUUGACAUCAAACCUGCCACAGCGUGUCUUUUAUUCACCAUAUUUGAGUUAAAACGUAAAUGCAAAUGAGAUGUCAAGAUUUUCAGUGGUUGUCAUACUUUAAGCUGCUUUUUAUGUUUCUGGUGCUCCUUUUCAAUCCUUGUUUUCAUUU